CGUUCUUCACGCGGCUUUCUCUUUUCGGCAGUUUUCAUCAUGGGCCACUCAAACGUUUGGUUUUCUCACCCAAGAACUUACGGACCAGGCUCAAGAUCCUGCCGUGUUUGCUUCAACCAUCAUGGCCUUAUCAGAAAAUAUGGACUGAACAUUUGUAGACGAUGCUUUAGGCAGUAUGCCAAAGACAUUGGCUUUCAGAAGUUCCAUUAGUCAAGAGUGUACUGAGGUCAAAGCAACAAUGCAGAAUGAGAAGAAAUGGGUGUUAAAAUUCCAAAAUAAUGAUGGAAUAAUUUUUGCAACAACUAACUGUAACAUCUUUCUGAAUGUUGUAUUAAAGCAUUGUUGAUAUUUAUCACA